rnacentral:rRNA from 1 species
GUGUCAGCAGCCGCGGUAAUACCGGCAGCCCGAGUGAUGGCCGAUCUUAUUGGGCCUAAGGCGUCCGUAGCUGGCCGCACAAGUCCAUCGGAAAAUCCACCCGCCCAACGGGUGGGCGUCCGGUGGAAACUGUGUGGCUUGGGACCGGAAGGCGCGACGGGUACGUCCGGGGUAGGAGUGAAAUCCCGUAAUCCUGGACGGACCGCCGAUGGCGAAAGCACGUCGCGAGGACGGAUCCGACAGUGAGGGACGAAAGCCAGGGUCUCGAACCGGAUUAGAAACCCCUGUAGUCC